CAGCGCCGGCCGGACGUGGUCGGACGUUCCGUUGACUCUGUGCGUGUCUCGCGUGUGUCUCGCGUAUUCAGAAUUCGAAUUGUACGCAGCUACGAUGUUGAGACUGUCGAGAGUGCCGUCGCGAGCCAUGUGAGAUGGUUUCGUUUCGUGACGGAUGGCUCAUGGUCCUCAUGGAUAGACAGAGCGUGAGUGUGCCUCGGGCUUGGAAUCACAGCUGCCAGUACAUUGCCACUUUCAUAAUUGAUACUACGUGGCAUAUCUAUUUUGUGGCACUGCCAAUAAAAUCAGCGGAUCGCCGAAAUGGAUGUGAUUCGAGUCUGUGCUAAAACCUGCGUGGAGUGCUGUUAUAAGACUUUCAAAGAUGGUGACACGGGUAUGAUAUCUGCAGCGACGUGAUUAAAGAUCUUAAUGAAGAGUAGCGGAUCAAUCAUAUACAACGCAUACGAUAGCUUUAUCGUGAAGAUCAUGUUAUCUCAGGAACGUAAUGUAAGCCGGACAUUUGGUCGAAAAAUGGGACGCACUACUUUUGAACGGCCAUUCGAUCGCCGAUAUGUUUUUCAUGGUGCCGGAUUAUGACGGGCGAUCUGUCACGGUCACCGUAACAGUAACUCCAAGGGGUUGAAAAGGGCUUAAUGCUUCUCCUGGAUAGCGCAAGAAAGAGUUGCGCGUGUGGAGAAUGGGGGAGGGGUACGUUACACCAUAUCAAAAUGGCCACAGCUUAGGGGUCCUGUGCUACCCCGAUAUAUCAUCGUUAGAGAACUUUGGACGGCUUCCUGGUUCCAGCAUUGAUGGCUUCCUCCGAUACGACAUGAUGUAUCUGUUCUUCAUUGCUGCGGCGUGGAAAUGAGAAUCGGAUGCAAUUUGAAACUCGCAUGAACCUAAUGUCCGCCGGCUGGAAGCUAACGCCUGGCUGCCGAAGGUAAUGCAACGGAUAAUGCGGCAAGUUUGCUAGCGAGGAAUUACGUGACCAGCUCUCAGUUUCGGCUUCCGAGCCUAGGUACCAGCCGUACUGCAGCUAAGUAACGCGCCAUACUUCUCAGGUAUUCAGACAACGGGACUAAUUGUAAGUAGCUAACGUAAGCUUACGUGAUACUAAGAAAUUUCAAUUUGGCAUUCAAAGCUAUUUGCAAAUUACGAGAGAGCUUGCUUAUCUCAUCAGCUUUGACAAAAUAACGUAUUCUAUAUACAAAAAAAUGUGGAAGAGACUCAAGAUGUUUUAAUGUCACUCUCAGACAAUUUGAGAGUUUUUUUUACCGUUAUUAACUAUUAAUUGUAGAUAAGAAUUAAACAUCCUGUAAAAUUCUUAUCAGCUGGAGAUUUGAUAUCAAUCUGGCUGAAGAGCAAUUUUCCAAGUGAAAGCAGUUAUUAUUGAAAAGAAGGACGAAUCGAGCGAUCAAUCUAAGAAUUUCGUAUUCUCUAUUGGAAACGCAGCUCGGACGAACAUCCAAUUUCAUUUAAUCAUAUUC